rnacentral:rRNA from 1 species
CAGCCGCCACGGGAAUACGUAGGGUGCAAGCGUUAAUCGGAAUUACUGGGCGUAAAGCGUGCGCAGGCGGUUUGUUAAGACAGAUGUGAAAUCCCCGGGCUCAACCUGGGAAUUGCAUUUGUGACUGGCAAGCUAGAGUAUGGCAGAGGGGGGUGGAAUUCCGCGUGUAGCAGUGAAAUGCGUAGAUAUGCGGUGGAACACCGAUGGCGAAGGCAGCCCCCUGGGCCAAUACUGACGCUCAUGCACGAAAGCGUGGGGAGCAAACAGGAUUAGAUACCCGCGUAGUCCCUGUCUCUUAUAC